GUCACUGUGGCUGCAGGUGCUCAUCACACGGGUCGCGUGCAGCAUCUGGAACACCUGAGUUUUAGGACACGGCACGUGCCGCGCGCGAGCCCCGCAGCACGGGGUCACUUCAACCAUGUGUGUGUGUGUGUGUGUGUGAGAGUGUGUGAGUGUGUGUCCGUUAACGGUACCGACAAACACCGAGAGACACAAAGAGCUGAACCGCCCCCGGUGUGUGUGACCGUGCAGCGGCUCCGGUCCUCAGGUAACUGAACCGCCAGGGUUAACGGCGACGGGGCUAACGCUAGCUCGCGUUAGCUGUUGACAUUAGCCGCGCGGAAAUUUGCACGAAACGCGCAGAGUCCGACGAGCUAACCGAGCUCCGGCGGCACCUGGAGCCCCGACGGGAGGGCUCACCUGUCGAGCAGCUGCUGGCAACGCGUGUGACACCACACAAAAACAACUGCCCCCCCACGCUAGCCUAGCUACGUUGCUAGCUAGCUAGCGCAAAUUGCCAUACACAACCAGAAGAGUUAGCAUGCUAGCUAACGCGCUAGCAGCCUUUUAUCUCUCUCCCCCCCCCCCCGGUGCGGAGGUAACGUUACAAUCCGUCGGUUUCCAGUCGGUGUCAGUGCUGGUGCUCGUGUUUGAUGGUGACCCACAGACCUGCGGUGCCGCGCCGCCGCUCCUCGGUGUCAGGCGGAUGGAUGCAGCAGGAAGCCCUCGGUGCUGUAAACGCACCCGACCGACCUGGUGUCCAGGUUGUGUCUGUACAGUGAGUUAUCGUGUCUGUGCUGCGGCCUGGUUCUGCAUGGAUGAACUCCGGUGACGGCGGCAGCAGGUCUGCAGAUCUGAGCACAGCGUGGUUCUUGGAUCUCAUCGUACUUUCAAGGGCAAAGACUGGAGACACACAGCUGCUUUCGGUCAGAGCUGUCGACGGCUCUGUUUUUAAUGCUGAGCCACGGCACAUCAUGUCAACAGAACGGCUGAAACUUCACGAGAAGAUAAUCCCGCUCUUCUUUGAGUGCACCUAACGCAGAGU